rnacentral:misc_RNA from 1 species
CUUACGUAGGUGAAGACAAGGGAAAGUAUAAAUUCAAUAAAUAGUGAAGUGAUGUGUUGCCAGUCCCAAAAUGGCGGAGGCGGGCGUGGAGACAGCCUCUUCCUCGGCCAGAUUCUUCUGUCACAAGUGCAAUGUCGAGAUUACUCCAAAGUUACCAGACUAUGUUUGCCCACGAUGCAAUAGUGGUUUCAUUGAGGAGCUGGAGCGAACACAUGUCUCAGACAGUGACAGCUCAAGUGACACAGAAAUGGAAUCUUUUGAUAUGUUGGAUUUGAUAGCCCAAGAACCCCCAACCUUACCUGGUGCCUCUGCCUCUCCUGCUUCCUCUUCCUCAGUACCUGGUCCACGCAUAAGUCAACGAUUGAGACAUCUUAAUGCAAGACACAAUAGAAGAAGGGUCAGUGGAGGAGACCGCCACUCUGCACUUGCCCCUCUCAUUCAUGACCUCAUAAUGCAGAUGACCUCAGGGGUCAUUGAAGCCAGUGUAGGAGGAGCAGAUUAUGUUCCCCAAAUGGACAUUGACUGGCCGGGAUUUCCCGUUCUAGUUGCCUCAAACCUCGCUUCUAAUCCUGGAGACUAUGCCUGGGGACGGGGAGGGCUGGAUACUAUCAUCACACAGCUUAUGAACCAGCUUGAUGGUACAGGCCCUCCACCUCUAACAAAAGAUGAGAUUUCCCAAAUACCUACAUCCAAAAUCACCAAAGAGCAGUGUGAUAAAGGACUACAGUGUUCAAUUUGCAUGGAGGAUUUUACAGUGGAUGAAACUGUGCGUCGCCUGUAUUGUGAACACUGCUUUCACAAUGACUGCAUCAUUCCCUGGUUAGAAUUGCAUGGAACCUGUCCAAUAUGCCGCAAAUUGCUUCUGGAGGAUGGGCGGCCAGUAAUGGGAGCCUCAGCAACUCCUGGGAAUAAUCCUCCUAGCUCUGGUCCAAGGUUAAUAAGACCUCAGAUGGGGGUUCCAUCAUCACUCCCAAGCAGUAGCAAUGCCUCAUCCUCUUCAUCCUCCACCAGCAGCACCAGUUCUCCAACUUCUAGGUCUUCUUCAGCCAGACCUAUGUUUGAGGAAGAGCUGGAUUGAUGUUUGGAGGAUCUUAUUUAGAAAAGUUCUGUUUUUACAUCACAACAGCACUGUAAUUGUUUGCUCAACUUCAUUGAUGUUCAAACAUGUGCAGAAAAUUAAUGAUUCUUCCAUUGACAGAUUAUGUAAUAUUCUUUCAGCAUAAAAGGUAAUGUGUCAUAUUUGCAAAAAGUAUGCUUAAAAUUUUCAGUUACAUCCAUGUGUUUGAAGGUGUAAAUUCAUAAAUAUGAAAGUCGUGCAUUGUCCACAAAUGAGAUUGGGCCAGUGGUAGAUUUCCAUUUUUAAAUUAUUUUUUGUUAAUGAAUCACAAAUGAAAAGGGAGUGAGUAAAAUAUAUUGGUUUACUUCUUGUGGUAUUAUGUUUCAUGGUGUCUAAAGCAAGAUGUGGGCAAGUUUUCUUAUAUUUAUCCUGGUCCAUUCUCUCUCUAAAAAAAAAAAAAAAAAAAAAAAAAGAACUACUAUCGUUUGAUCUCCAAGUCUGAGACUGGAGCCUCUAAAUAUUGCAGGUAUUGCCAGUAAUAAAUUUGUUCCACCCAUUUCCAGCAGUUUUUGAAAUUAAGGUCUUAGAAUUCAGGUAACAACUAAAAGAACCUCAUUAUCAUCUAGCUGCUUGGUAAAUAAACUGUUCAGGUUUUUUUAAGGGUUUAUAUACAAAGUGCAUUUAUGGAGUUGUUUAGCAUCUAUGAAAGAUCUUUGUAGCAAUUAGUUGAUCAACUUGUUUGAUGCUAAAUUUUUGCAAAAAAAAAAAUAAUAAUAAUGUAAAGAUGCUAAAGGUAACAACAUGUUCCUCCUGUCAUCUUUGUAUUCAAUGCCUUGAAUCUUCAGAAGGAAGAACAAACUUUAGAAUUGUCACUAAAGCAACUGUAAAUAGAACUAAUGUGUUUCACUGCCCUCUGUAGGCAUGUUGCAUUAGCUCAUUGUACAGUUAAAUCAAACACAUCCUUGACAUUCAGGGACACUCAAAUUUAUAUUGACUUCACCAUAUAAUGUGAUGUAUAGUCCAGUGUGUUUGUUUACAUGUACUAAAGCUAAACCUACUCUUGCAUAUACAUUCAUUUGUGGAUGGUAAUGGCAUGUCUGCUUCAGCAGCUUGAGGUUUCACUUUUUCUUUUUAUGGAUCACUAACUUCACCUUGACUGGCUUCCUUGAGUUCCAGAGUUGUAUAAAGUAGAUUUUUGGAACCUUAUCAUUAUACAACUUGUACCAGACCUUGUAUUAGUAAGCAAAAAAAAAAAAAACAAUCACUAAUGAUGUUAGCACUUUUAGUAAGUCCAGUUAUGGGAAGUGAGCUUGUAAAUUAUUUGCCCUCCCCAGCAUCUCAAGAGCACACUGACAAGAGACAGCUAUAGCUGGUGGCAUUAUAAAAUUGCCAGCUAACACCAUUUGCUUGUUAAUGAAGUAUAAAGCUAUUGUGCCAGGAAAGUAGCAUUUCUAUUUAUUUAUUAAUAUUUUAAGAGGAAAAGAACCCUGGUGUAAUCUUAUUUAUGGAUACAAAAUUAUUCCAUACAUAUGGUGGACAUCCUUAGUUGAAACAUGUACAUGACAACAUACUGAUGUUUAUUGACAUACAACAGAUAUAUAAAGACAAACAAACCUGAUCGAGUUUUAUAAUAUCCAGUAAUGUGUAUUAUAAUUGCACACUUUAAUGCAAGAAAAUAGGGAAAAAAAUGUGAUGAGUAGCAUUCCAUGAAGUGCAGUUUCAGCAGAUGUGCAGUUCACAUAUCUCCUUUGAUACAUCUUGAUACAUUGCAGUUUAGCUGAACUCUAAAGUCUUUAUACUGGUCAGACUGAGUUUCCUGCUAUUAUUGAAGUGACAAAGAAACAACAAAUUGAUAUAUUUAUUAUUGACUAUGUGUAGCAGCAGAAUGGAAUAAUUGUUUUUGUACAUUGUGCUGUUUUGUAUAACCCUUUCCUAUUCUGAGGACUUUUCACAGCAAUGAAAAAUAACGUGUGAAUAGUGGACUUGACAUUUAGCAAAACUACGUAGUUGUCAUUGCUUUUGGAGCAGUAUGAUUUAGUGUGAUCUCUUCUCUAUAUACUUUCUUUCUUAAAAUACAACUGUAUAUGCAAUUUUAAAGAAAAUUUCUAUAGCUAUGUCAUGAAAAGAAGAAAAUGCAUCAUGAAUAUUAAUGUUUGGCAAUCAAUUUUUAUUAAAGUUGAAUAUUUUUGCAUAAAUGCUUUUUUUUUUUUUUUUUUUUUUUUUUUUUGCCUAUGCUAUGGUAUAUUACAUAAAUUACUAAGUUUAAAAAUGCAACCUAAUUGACCUCUAUCAGUAGGUAUUUUGCUAUGAGCUUUGCAAAUAAAACAUGCAUACACGACUUCAAGAUGCCCUCUGCUAUGGGUUGCGUGAAAAAGCAGGUUUUGGCUGACAUUCAGAAUGGUAAAGGGUUAAAGUAUAUUUUGAUUUCAGUGGGAGAAAGUAUGAGGAAUUCCAAACUCUUACAUGAAAAAAUCAUGUAACAAUGGUUUGUCUAAAUGUCAACUUCUUAAAUAGUUAUUUCACAAGCACUGACAAAACACACACACACACACACACACACACACACACACACACACACACACACACACACACACACACACACACCAAAAAAUUCUGUAACUCAUAUACCAGAAAAUCCUGCUGUCUUACAGCAUAGCAAAUUGUUAUAGUAACAUUUUGUAUAUAAAACCUGUAAAUGCAUUUUCUUAUGUAUGGAGUUUAUAUAAUAUGUACAAAAAUUAUUUAGUUUCAUGUCCCCAAAUGUUUCAGCUAGUCCUUGGGUCUGUUGCAUCAUGGGGAAUUGUAUCAUAUUCACUGGUCAGAAGAGAUAAGUUUUUAUUUAGCAAAGAAAAAAAAAAUCAGUUGGUAAAUUUAUUAAGGUAUCAAUAAAUAUAGUUUUCAUC